CUACGGAAGGCAGCAGCUAAGAAUAUUCCGCAAUGGGCGAAAGCCUGACGGAGCAAUCUCGCGUGAGUGAUGAAGGCCUUCGGGUUGUAAAGCUCUUUUGGCAGGGACGAAUAAUGAAUAGUUAAUCGCUAUUCUGAUGACAGUACCUGCAGAAUAAGCACCGGCUAAUUACGUGCCAGCAGCCGCGGUAAUACGUGGGGUGCAAACGUUGUUCGGAAUUACUGGGCGUAAAGGGUGCGUAGGCAGCCAUGAAAGUUAGAGGUGAAAUCCCGGAGCUCAACUCCGGAACUGCCUUUAAUACUGCGUGGCUAGAGUUGUUUAUAGAGGUAGCAAGAAUUCCUAGUGUAGGAGUGAAAUCUGUAGAUAUUAGGAGGAAUACCAAUGGCGAAGGCAAGCUACUGGGUAACAACUGACGCUGAAGCACGAAAGCCAGGGGAGCGAAUGGGAUUAGAUACCCGUGUAGUCCU
rnacentral:rRNA from 1 species